rnacentral:rRNA from 1 species
CCUUUUGUAUAAUGGGUCAGCGACUUAUAUUCUGUAGCAAGGUUAACCGUAUAGGGGAGCCGGAGGGAAACCGAGUCUUAACCGGGCGUUAAGUUGCAGGGUAUAGACCCGAAACCCGGUGAUCUAGCCAUGGGCAGGUUGAAGGUUGGGUAACACUAACUGGAGGACCGAACCGACUAAUGUUGAAAAAUUAGCGGAUGACCUGUGGCUGGGGGUGAAAGGCCAAUCAAACCGGGAGAUAGCUGGUUCUCCCCGAAAGCUAUUUAGGUAGCGCCUCGUGAAUUCAUCUCCGGGGGUAGAGCACUGUUUCGGCUAGGGGGCCAUCCCGGCUUACCAACCCGAUGCAAACUGCGAAUACCGGAGAAUGUUAUCACGGGAGACACACGGCGGGUGCUAACGUCCGUCGUGAAGAGGGAAACAACCCAGACCGCCAGCUAAGGUCCCAAAGUCAUGGUUAAGUGGGAAACGAUGUGGGAAGGCCCAGACAGCCAGGAUGUUGGCUUAGAAGCAGCCAUCAUUUAAAGAAAGCGUAAUAGCUCACUGGUCGAGUCGGCCUGCGCGGAAGAUGUAACGGGGCUAAACCAUGCACCGAAGCUGCGGCAGCGACGCUGAUGCGUUGUUGGGUAGGGGAGCGUUCUGUAAGCCUGUGAAGGUGUGUCGUGAG